UACGGAGGAGGCAAGCGUUAUCCGGAAUUAUUGGGCGUAAAGCGUCCGUAGAUGGUUUUGUCAGUCUGCUGUCAAAGCACAGGGCUUAACCCUGUAAAGGCAGUGGAAACUACAAGACUAGAGUGCAGUAGGGGCAGAGGGAAUUCCCAGUGUAGCGGUGAAAUGCGUAGAGAUUGGGAAGAACAUCCGUGGCGAAAGCGCUCUGCUGGACUGCAACUGACAUUGAGGGACGAGAGCUAGGGGAGCGAAUGGG
rnacentral:rRNA from 1 species